rnacentral:rRNA from 1 species
GGUAUCCUGUCUGAAUAUGGGGGGACCAUCCUCCAAGGCUAAAUACUCCUGACUGACCGAUAGUGAACCAGUACCGUGAGGGAAAGGCGAAAAGAACCCCGGCGAGGGGAGUGAAAAAGAACCUGAAACCGUGUACGUACAAGCAGUGGGAGCACAGGUUUACCUGUGUGACUGCGUACCUUUUGUAUAAUGGGUCAGCGACUUAUAUUCUGUAGCAAGGUUAACCGUAUAGGGGAGCCGAAGGGAAACCGAGUCUUAACCGGGCGUUAAGUUGCAGGGUAUAGACCCGAAACCCGGUGAUCUAGCCAUGGGCAGGUUGAAGGUUGGGUAACACUAACUGGAGGACCGAACCGACUAAUGUUGAAAAAUUAGCGGAUGACCUGUGGCUGGGGGUGAAAGGCCAAUCAAACCGGGAGAUAGCUGGUUCUCCCCGAAAGCUAUUUAGGUAGCGCCUCGUGAAUUCAUCUCCGGGGGUAGAGCACUGUUUCGGCUAGGGGGCCAUCCCGGCUUACCAACCCGAUGCAAACUGCGAAUACCGGAGAAUGUUAUCACGGGAGACACACGGCGGGUGCUAACGUCCGUCGUGAAGAGGGAAACAACCCAGACCGCCAGCUAAGGUCCCAAAGUCAUGGUUAAGUGGGAAACGAUGUGGGAAGGCCCAGACAGCCAGGAUGUUGGCUUAGAAGCAGCCAUCAUUUAAAGAAAGCGUAAUAGCUCACUGGUCGAGUCGGCCUGCGCGGAAGAUGUAACGGGGCUAAACCAUGCACCGAAGCUGCGGCAGCGAACGUAUCACUUAAAGCGAUUCAGCGGGUUACGA